UUUUUUUCCUUCGAAACGAAGAGCGAGUGAUCCAUACAUGGUAACGGUGAGAAGACUGGCUUACGCGUUGCAACGCGUAACCCACCCUACCUGCUCUCCUGUCGCCACUCGUUCGCCUUCCGUUCUUUUCUCCUGCUUAUCCGCAAUAUUUGGGUGUGUACGUCUGUGACUCACGUAUCGACUUUUCUCCCAGCCAACUUCGAACAAGCAGGGUGGGUUUAAGGCACACCCAUCAUCCAGCUAAGGGUAGAGAAAAUACAUAUGUUGAUAUAAUUUUUAAACUUAAUUAUAAGCAUAUAUUUAUAUAUAUUUUGUAAAAAGAGAAAAA
rnacentral:misc_RNA from 1 species